GUGCUCACUUCGGCAGCACAUUUACUAAAAUUGGAACGAUACAAAGAAGAUUAGCAUGGCCCCCUGUGCAAGGAUGACACGCAAAUUCGUGAAGCAUUCCAUAUUUUU
rnacentral:snRNA from 1 species